UACCACUUCCAAGGAAGGCAGCAGGCGCGUAAAUUACCCAAUGAUAAUUCUUUGAGGUAGCGACGAAAAAUAUCAAUGUAUUAUCUAUUUGAUAAUAUGUUUGAAAUGAGAUCAAUUUAAAAUCCUUAACAAGGAACGAUUGGAGGGCAAGUCUGGUGCCAGCAGCCGCGGUAAUUCCAGCUCCAAUAGCUAGUGUUAAAGUUGUUGCAGUUAAAAAGCUCGUAGUUGGAUUUUAUAAAAWAACCUGUUUACUUUGAAAAAAUUAGAGUGUUCAAAACAGAUUCAUUUAGAGUCUUGAAUAAAAUUAGCAUGGUAUAAUAUAAAAUGGAUUCUGAUUUAAAUAUUUUCCAUUAAAAAAGGUUUAUUUAUAAAAAAACUUUAAAGUUUUUUUUUCUUUAAACAGAAUUUUAAUUAGAUUAGAAUAACGAUUAAUAGGGAUAGUUGGGGUCACUCAUAUUCAAUUGUCAGAGGUGAAAUUCUAGGAUUAAUUGAAGAUGAACUAAUGCGAAAGCAUUUGACAAGGAUGUUUUCAUUAAUCAAGAACGAAAGUUGGGGGAUCGAAGAUGAUCAGAUACCGUCGUAGUCCCAACCCUAAAUUAUGUGAACCUAGGAUCUAUAGGUGAUAAAAUCAUAUGUCCCCCUGGGCACUAAAGUGAGAAAUCAUAAGUAUUUGCAUUCCGGGGGGAGUAUGGUCGCAAGGCUGAAACUUAAAGGAAUUGACGGAAGGGCACCACCAGGAGUGGAACCUGCGG
rnacentral:rRNA from 1 species